CGUCCAGCGUCUUCUCACUAUGAUUUUCACAGUGAGAAUUGCGGAAGCGUCUCUAGCGGCUGUCAGUGAGACAGCCACUAGAGGCUGGAUUAACCCUCAGUGAAACAUAGCAGUUUCUCUGAAACUGCUAUGUUUUCAGCUGCAGAGUUAAAACUAGAGGGACCUGGCACCCAGACCACUUCAUUGAGCUGAUGUGAUCUGGGUGUCUGUAGUGGUCCUUUAAGUG
rnacentral:lncRNA from 1 species